rnacentral:rRNA from 1 species
UACGAAGGGGGGCUAGCGUUGCUCGGAAUCACUGGGCGUAAAGGGUGCGUAGGCGGGUUCUUAAGUCAGAGGUGAAAUCCUGGAGCUCAACUCCAGAACUGCCUUUGAUACUGAGAGUCUUGAGUUCGGGAGAGGUGAGUGGAACUGCGAGUGUAGAGGUGAAAUUCGUAGAUAUUCGCAAGAACACCAGUGGCGAAGGCGGCUCACUGGCCCGAUACUGACGCUGAUGCACGAAAGCGUGGGGAGCAAACAG